AUGGCAGAACAGAUGGUUUCAGCCUCAGUCCUGGCUCUGGAGGAUGCUGUGUUGCUGCUUGUCAAUCAUGGACAAAGAUACCUCUCUUUAUUUUCCUUCCACCUUGCAGUGAAUGUCGUAGUAGUGGUUGAUGGGAACUGCAUCCUUCAAUAUACCCAUCGUCAGUCACCUUGCUCCUGCCUUUCUGAUGGGGAGCCUCUCUUGUCCCGAUGCCCUCCACAAACCUACGGUGCUGUGCCCCCCAGCCCCACUAUCCCCCGGGGGCCAGCUUGUGGCCAAGAAGCUGGACCACCCCCGUCCCGCAGGACCCGUGGACUCAGCGUCCGCUGUUGCACCAAAGCCUGCCUGGGCGACGAAGAAGAACACGCUGAGCGACACCUCAAUCGGGGGGCAUCCUGCAGCCGCCUUACCCCAGUGCCCUUGCCCCGCAGCCCCUCUGGGCCGUGGUUUGGAGUGGGGUCUCUCAGUGGGGGCAGGCCAGGGACUCGGGUUGUGAAGAUCUGGGACCGACAGCGAUGCCCCUUGCUGGAGGAAGGGGAUGUCAUCACAAAAGUGAAUGGGGCGGAUGUUCGAGAUCUGAGCCCUGCAGAAGUGGAGAGUGUCUUGCAGGAACAUACGCGAACAGGCGAUGUGAUCCUUCUGGUGGAAAGGAAAGGUCAUCGCUCCCGGAGACCUCCCCAAGAAAACUGCUCCUUCAGAAAAGAACACCUCUUGCCUCACUCCUAUCACAAUAAAGGAACUCCUCAAGAUGCUCCUAACCCUUGGGGAGGUCCCCCAGGGGACACUCUGGCGGUGACCAGUUUUGUUGGUCCCGAGCCUCGGGAUGUACUGGUGUGUCCAGCUCGUUGCUCCCAGAGGUUAAGGCGACCCCGGCCAGCAGGAGGAGCUGGGGAUCCCAUAGUAAGCGUGGUUGAUCCCAAAGAAGAACGUGGAUGUAAGAGUGGCACCUCCAUGGCAGCUGACGGAGCUGGAGCUGGGAGACCAGGUGAGGGUCUGGAAGGAACGCGCUGAGAGAGAUAAGAAUAGUCAAUACGACUGUAAUUUAAAAAAAAGAAAAAAGAUUAGGUGUAGUGUAGUCUUAAUGUCCUGGUCAUACUUGCCCUAUGACAUGCCAUUUUGAUGCUGUGCGCACACCUUGAGAGCAUUAUGUUCUUAUUGCCAAAACGGGGAUAGGAAUUUCUUUAUCGCUUAAGUGCAGAGUAGACCUGACCCCCAUGGGAGGUUGUAUGCAGAGUUAACACAACCAGCCUGCAACGCAAGAUAUUCUCCAUUGUGCUGCUUAGGUAAUCCCAUGCAACCAUGUGAUACAGAUACAAUCUGUGUGGUGCCUUUAUGGUGCCUCUAAUGCACAGUGAGCACCAGUCUGCACAACACCGCACCCUCA
rnacentral:lncRNA from 1 species